GAGUUUGAUCAUGGCUCAGAUUGAACGCUGGCGGCAUGCCUUACACAUGCAAGUCGAACGGCAGCACGGGAGCUUGCUCCUGGUGGCGAGUGGCGAACGGGUGAGUAAUGCAUCGGAACGUAUCCUGGAGUGGGGGAUAACGUAGCGAAAGUUACGCUAAUACCGCAUAUUCUGUGAGGCAGGAAAGCGGGGGACCUUCGGGCCUCGCGCUCUUGGAGCGGCCGAUGUCGGAUUAGCUAGUUGGUGAGGUAAAGGCUCACCAAGGCGACGAUCCGUAGCAGGUCUGAGAGGAUGAUCUGCCACACUGGAACUGAGACACGGUCCAGACUCCUACGGGAGGCAGCAGUGGGGAAUUUUGGGACAAUGGGGGGCAACCCUGAUCCAGCCAUGCCGCGUGAGUGAAGAAGGCCUCGGUU
rnacentral:rRNA from 1 species